rnacentral:rRNA from 1 species
GACGAACCGUCCUAACGUUAUUCGGAAUCACUGGGCUUAAAGGGCGCGUAGGCGGACGAGCAAGUCCGGAGUGAAAUCCUUCGGCUUAACCGGAGAAGUGCUUUGGAUACUGCUCGUCUUGAGGGAGGUAGGGGCAUGUGGAACUUCUGGUGGAGCGGUGAAAUGCGUUGAUAUCAGAAGGAACGCCGGUGGCGAAAGCGACGUGCUGGCCCUCUUCUGACGCUGAGGCGCGAAAGCUAGGGGAGCGAACAGG